GCUCACUUUGGAACAUGAGUAGCUGGGGUAAUGUCUGGCUUAUGGAUAUGUCCUAAUUUUUCUCCAUUGUUUUCUAUCACCACAGAUGGAUGAAAAAUAAGUCCUGCAAUGAGAAAGAUUCUGGACAGUAUAUCUUUAAAUAACAUAGAGCAUCCUUACAUGGAGUCUCUCUCAACAGACUGGAGUAAGACUGGAGCAAGGAACUUUUGCAGACAUUAG
rnacentral:lncRNA from 1 species